GACGAACGCUGGCGGCGUGCCUAAUACAUGCAAGUCGAGCGCAGGAAACUGACGGAACUCUUCGGAGGGAAGGCAGCGGAAUGAGCGGCGGACGGGUGAGUAACACGUAAGGAACCUGCCUCAAGGAUGGGGAUAACUCCGAGAAAUCGGAGCUAAUACCGGAUAGUUCAACGGACCGCAUGGUCCGCUGAUGAAAGGCGCUUCGGCGUCACCUUGAGAUGGCCUUGCGGUGCAUUAGCUAGUUGGUGGGGUAACGGCCCACCAAGGCGACGAUGCAUAGCCGACCUGAGAGGGUGAUCGGCCACACUGGAACUGAGACACGGCCCAGACUCCUACGGGAGGCAGCAGUAGGGAAUCUUCCACAAUGGACGAAAGUCUGAUGGAGCAACGCCGCGUGAGUGAUGAAGGUUUUCGGAUCGUAAAACUCUGUUGUAAGGGAAGAACACGUACGAGAGGGAAUGCUCGUACCUUGACGGUACCUUACGAGAAAGCCACGGCUAACUACGUGCCAGCCGCCGCAGUAAUAC
rnacentral:rRNA from 1 species